AACGAACGCUGGCGGCAGGCCUAACACAUGCAAGUCGAGCGAAGCCUUCGGGCUUAGCGGCGGACGGGUGAGUAACGCGUGGGAACGUGCCCUUUGCUACGGAAUAGCCCCGGGAAACUGGGAGUAAUACCGUAUGUGCCCUUCGGGGGAAAGAUUUAUCGGCAAAGGAUCGGCCCGCGUUGGAUUAGGUAGUUGGUGGGGCAAUGGCCUACCAAGCCGACGAUCCAUAGCUGGUUUGAGAGGAUGAUCAGCCACACUGGGACUGAGACACGGCCCAGACUCCUACGGGAGGCAGCAGUGGGGAAUCUUAGACAAUGGGGGAAGCCCUGAUCUAGCCAUGCCGCGUGAUCGAUGAAGGCCUUAGGGUUGUAAAGAUCUUUCAGUGGGGAAGAUAAUGACUGUACCCACAGAAGAAGCCCCGGCUAACUCCGUGCCAGCCGCCGCAGUAAAAC
rnacentral:rRNA from 1 species